rnacentral:tRNA from 1 species
GGGGAUUUAGCUCAGUGGUAGAGCACUUGCCUAGCAAGCGCAAGGCCCUGGGUUCAAUCCCCA